rnacentral:rRNA from 1 species
UACGUAGGGGGCGAGCGUUGUCCGAAUUUACUGGGCGUAAAGCGCGCGUAGGCGGUUUCUUAAGUCUGGGGUGAAAGGUUCAACGCUCAACGUGAACAGUGCCUUGGAUACUGGGAGACUUGAGUCUGGGAGGGGGCAGUGGAAUUCCUGGUGUAGCGGUGAAAUGCGUAGAUAUCAGGAGGAACACCGGUGGCGAAGGCGGCUGCCUGGCCUAAGACUGACGCUGAGGUGCGAAAGCGUGGGGAGCGAACGGG